rnacentral:rRNA from 1 species
UACGAAGGGGGCUAGCGUUGCUCGGAAUUACUGGGCGUAAAGGGCGCGUAGGCGGAUAUUUAAGUCGGGGGUGAAAGCCCGGGGCUCAACCUCGGAAUUGCCUUCGAUACUGGAUAUCUUGAGUUCGGGAGAGGUGAGUGGAAUGCCGAGUGUAGAGGUGAAAUUCGUAGAUAUUCGGAAGAACACCAGUGGCGAAGGCGGCUCACUGGACGACUGUUGACGCUGAGGUACGAAAGCGUGGGGAGCAAACAGG